rnacentral:tRNA from 1 species
ACCUGGCUGGCUCAGUCAGCAGGGCAUGUGACUCUUGAUCUCAAAGUUGUGAGUUUGAGCCCCAUGUUUGGUG